AACAGCUGUCAUGUGCAUGAAGCACAAAAACGUCUAACAGCUUUCAGAUGGUUUUAAUAAAGUUUUCCUUGUCAUUUUGAAAUGAGGGUAAGGAAAGGAAAGAUGAAUAUAAAAAAGGAAGAACAGAAAAAGAAGAUGGAAGGAGAGUUGUACGCACAAGCAGAAAUAGGAUUGGAAAACUUCAGCCUACAAAAAACAGAAGAGAAGGAGCAGAGGGGAGCUGUGAAAUUCAGAAAUCCCAAGGAUAUCACCAUAUAAUUACAGAAUUUAAAGGUGAUCAGGUGCUAAACAUAAGAGAAAACAAAAAUGGCAAAAUCUCCAGUCAAGAAGAUGUUCUUUCUGAUCAAAAAUCAACUCGCCGUGAUUUUGUCUUGAGGGCUGUGAUUCAAGUCCUUGUGUGUUAACCAGCUGGAGAGUAGAGUGGUAGUAGCUUCAACUGGACUACAUUCACCCUGAAGACACGUUC